AGUGAACGCUGGCGGUAGGCCUAACACAUGCAAGUCGAACGGCAGCACAGUAAGAGCUUGCUCUUACGGGUGGCGAGUGGCGGACGGGUGAGGAAUACAUCGGAAUCUACUUUUUCGUGGGGGAUAACGUAGGGAAACUUACGCUAAUACCGCAUACGACCUACGGGUGAAAGCAGGGGAUCUUCGGACCUUGCGCGAUUGAAUGAGCCGAUGUCGGAUUAGCUAGUUGGCGGGGUAAAGGCCCACCAAGGCGACGAUCCGUAGCUGGCCUGAGAGGAUGAUCAGCCACACUGGAACUGAGACACGGUCCAGACUCCUACGGGAGGCAGCAGUGGGGAAUAUUGGACAAUGGGCGCAAGCCUGAUCCAGCCAUACCGCGUGGGUGAAGAAGGCCUUCGGGUUGUAAAGCCCUUCUGUUGGGAAAGAAAAGCAGCAGGUUAAUACCCCGCUGUUCUGACGGUACCCAAAGAAUAAGCACCGGCUAACUUCGUG
rnacentral:rRNA from 1 species